rnacentral:rRNA from 2 species
CAUUCCGCAAGGAAGUAAGAUCCCUGAAAGAUGAUCAGGUUGAUAGGUCUGAGGUGGAAGUGUGGCGACACAUGGAGCUGACAGAUACUAAUCGAUCGAGGACUUAACCAAUUU